GAUGAACGCUGGCGGCGUGCUUAACACAUGCAAGUCGAACGGAAAGGCUCCUGCUUGCAGGGGUACUCGAGUGGCGAACGGGUGAGUAACACGUGGGUGAUCUGCCCUGCACUUCGGGAUAAGCCUGGGAAACUGGGUCUAAUACCGGAUAGGACGAUGGUUUGGAUGCCAUUGUGGAAAGUUUUUCGGUGUGGGAUGAGCUCGCGGCCUAUCAGCUUGUUGGUGGGGUAAUGGCCUACCAAGGCGUCGACGGGUAGCCGGCCUGAGAGGGUGUACGGCCACAUUGGGACUGAGAUACGGCCCAGACUCCUACGGGAGGCAGCAGUGGGGAAUACUGCACAAUGGGCGCAAGCCUGAUGCAGCGACGCCGCGUGGGGGAUGACGGCCUUCGGGUUGUAAACUCCUUUCGCUAGGGACGAAGCGCAAGUGACGGUACCUGGAGAAGAAGCACCGGCUAACUACGUG
rnacentral:rRNA from 1 species